GGUUUUGGCGGAGGCACUUAGAAGGCGAACGUUUGUUUAUGUAAAACAUAUACAGUUGUAUUUUUAUUUUUUUUUCCGAAAAUGACCGAUCGUUUCGCUAGAUAAGACCCUUAUUCAUCGUCUGGUAUCGUUUAAAGCCCUUUGAAGCUUCACUUAACUGUCAUUUGGACCUUGAACCAUUUGGUGUCCAUUGAAGUCCAUUAUAUGGAGAAAAAUCCUGGAAUGUUUUCAUCAAAAACCUUAAUUUUUUUUCGACUGAAGAAAGACAGACAUGGACAUCUUGGAUGACAUGGGGGUUUACCAUAGUCAGUCGGAUCUGGGCUGUAUCCAGGUGAGAUUGAGGACCUGCACCUAGACACGAGAACAACGCAGCCCUGAAGUGUCAGCAGAGAUUGUGUCAACUAGAUCAUCCCCUGUGAAGGCCUCACCGACACGACAGCCAGUGGCACAGAUUCCCAACAAACCAUCCCAUUCCAGCCUGAUGAAUACGAUCUUUAACUAGAUGGAACUGGAUUAAAUAUUUUGACUGUUGCAAUCCCAGUCGGGCUUAUGACCUGUAAAGCUGCCUGAAUCAUUAUCACGCACUGUUUGCUGUUGGCCAGAGGAGAACUGCCCCUCUGGCCAAAAGGAUGACAAAGGGAUGCCGGCACACAACAGAGUUAGCUUUUGCGAAGAAUCAAGUUGCUCCCAGACAUGAGGAGGUGUGGCAAAGAGACACAGUGUCUCAUUUCCUUCUCAGGGAACAAGGGUUACAUACGUAACCUGAGAGGUCCCUUUCGAGGGAACUCACACUGUGUCGGUAACGACACUUUGGGGAAUGAAUACCCACUAUACCAUACCCAAACAUGUCUGUCCUAGUGUCAAGCUGAAACAGGCACAACUUAGGAUGAGAGCACCUGUGCGCCUGGUGUGGAAGGGAGGUGUAGACUAUAAAAUGUGAUGAAGGUGUGUGGAGUGGCCCAGCCAGCUGUAUCACAGAUCUCCUGAAGGGGAACCCCUGAAAGGAGAGCUCUAGAGGACGCCAUGCCCCUAGUAGAAUGAGCCCUCAAGGCCAAAGAUGAAGGUAGGUUACGCACCUGAUAGUCCGAGGCAAUAGCCUGAACGAUCCAAUUACUAAUUGUUUGCUUAUAAGCAUGGAGCCCCUUCUUAGGUGACCCAAUGCACACCAACAACUGAUCUGACUUCCUCCAUUGAGCAGACUUCUGAAUAUAAACAUUCAAUACUCUGACAGGGCAGAGCAGAUGAAGCCUUUGCUUCCACCGACACAUGUGGUGGAGGAUGGAAGGCUUGUAGAACCAUAGACUGUGCCAUGUUAGAAGGCACCUUAGGCACGUAGCCCGGUCUAGGAUUUAGCUGCUGCUGGCUCAAGGUUUGAAGGGGGCAGUGACAACCCUUUGAGGACUGCCGCCAGAUCCAAGGUUGGGACUCUGGUCCAAGUCGCAGGUCUCAUCUUCCAUGCACCAUGGAGGAAACGUAUGACCAACUGGUGCCUCCCCAAAGGCACAUCACUUAUAUGAGCAUGGAAAGCCGCAAUGGCAGCCACUUACACCUUAAGUGUGGACGGGGUAAGACCAGCAGAGAAGCGAUCUUGGAGGAACUCCAGUACUGAAGCCACCAGGCAGUUAACUGGGUCCAAACCACGCUCUCUACACCAAGUAGAAAACAUUCCACUUUAGGCCAUACAAUCUCCUCGUGGAUGGAGCUCUGUAACCAAGUAUGGUUUCAACUAUUUCAACCGACAGGGCCAGACCCACAGUUUCCACAGCUUUGGCCGAGGAUGAAAUAUUGUGCCUCCCGCCUGAGACAAGGAGGACCUGCCAGGAAUGUUAUGAUGUCCGCAAACCAUACUCAGGCUGGCCAGAAUGGGGCUAUCAGUACCAAAGUGACCCUUUCUCGUCGGACUCUCUCCAGAACUCCCAGGGACAGAGCGAUCGUGGGAAAUGCUUACACACCUGCACCAUGGCAUCCAACCCCAGCAGGGCUGGUUGGAUGAGGGAAAACCACAAUGGACAGUGGGUCAACUCUCGAGAUGCGAAAAAGUCCACUUCAACUGGACCAAACCUCUCGCAUAUCGACUUCACCACCUCGGGUUGCCCCUGCCUCAGCCCCUGCCUCAGCCCCUGCCUCGACAGGAGGUCCGCUCCCUGAUUCUUGUCCCCGGGGACAUCCCUGGGACCACAAGAGGAUCUGGUGUGCCAGUCUGGAUAGAGGGCGCACCCUCAGACCCCCCUUGAUGAUUCAAAUAGAAGACCACCGAUAUGUUGUCUGUUUGGACCAGAAUGUGGUGACCCCUGAGGUCUGGGAGGAAGCUCCUCAGAGCAUUGAAGACCGCAAACAACUCUAGGCAAUUAUUGUGCCAAGAAGAUCGGUGGUCCUGCCACAGACCUCUUUCAAAUCGGCCGUACGUGACCGCACCACAGCCCAUGAGGGAUGCAUCUGUUGAGAUGAUUUUUUUGGUGAUAUGGUGCUCCCAAAACUGGGCCUUGGGACAGAAACCAAGGUUUUCUCCAUAUGGACAAGGAAUGAAGGCAUUUGCACAUAACCCUGAUCAUACGGAACGGGUUUCCCCUCAGGGAAAACCCCUUGGCAUUUAGCCACCACUGUAGGGGCCUCAUGUGCAGAAAACCAAAAGGUAGGACGUUGGAUGCAGCUGCCAUGAGCCCUAGCAAUGUUUGAAACUGCUUUAUAGUGAUGCCGCGGUCUAGCUUUAUCCUGGAAACCAUCGCACAGGAUGGAGUUGAUACGUGCAGAAGACAUUGUGCCCGCAUCGUAGUCAAAUCCCAUACCAACCCCAAUAAUGUAGUUCUCUGGGCGGGUGUCAGCACACUCUUUUUUUGUGUUAAGUCUCAACCCCAAGCUUGACAUCUCGAUGCCGAACUGACAGUUCUCGAAAUUGAGCCAAUAUAGUUCAACACACAGAUGCUCUGAAGCCUCAGCGGGGCCAGGGCUGCAUCCAUUCAUUUGGUGAACGUGCGAGGGGAGAGAGCUAGGCUGAAUGGAAGAACCCGAUACUGGAACGCAUCGCCCCCGAAAGCAAACCUCAGGAACUUCGUAUGAGAAGGAAGGAUGGAAAUGUGAAAGUAUGCGUCCUUGAGAUCUAUCGUGACAAACCAGUCCUCAGACCUGAUUUGACUCACGAUGAUGGGAACAGUGAGCAUCUUGAAACUGAAUUUACUCAGAGAAGGGUUUAAGCGCCUCAGAUCUAAAAUCAAAUGCAACCCCCAUCCUUCUUUGGAACAAUAAAGUACCGGCUGUAGAACCCGGGCUCCCAGUCUGGAGGAGGAACAGGUUCUAUGGCCUCAUUUACUAGCAGGUAGUGAACUUCUGAACUGAACUCUCGAGGCUGAUCUUGGGUGUUCUUGGGUGUUCUUGGAGUGACGUUCUCGAAGCGGAUGACUGGCAGGGAUUAAUUGACUUUCGGUGUGCGGACACGAGCAUUGCUUGGCCGCAAGCCUUUGGAGCAGACACAGAAACCGCUGGCUCCUGAAGCGCACUUGACGGCGGGAUACAAACAUCAAUUUCCUGAGGGCUCCGCAGAGGAACGAUCAUUCCUCAUCCCUCCCCAGAGGGGACUGCCCUCUGGCUUCUUUCCCACAGCCUCCUUUGUAAGAAGAACGGUCCUCAGAUCUGUUUCCCUACUCUAAGGCUUUGGGUGAGAGUGCUGCUUAGACCCCCAAGCUCUCUGGGGGUGGGGGGUUUUGGGGUUCUCUAGAGGCAACACUCUCUUCUGCUACUUUGGACUUUCAGAAAUUAUAGAUCCUUUCUUAAUAUUAUUAAUCCAUCAUUGUCAUUAGGAUAUGUACCAAAACCUUUUAAUCUGGCUGUUUUAAACCUCUUAUUUAAAAAAAUGGAACUUGAUACCAAAGAAUUAGUUAAUUACAGACUGAUCUCAAAUCUACUUUCUUCUGUCAAAAAUACAAGAAAUUGCAGUAUCCUCACAACUGUGUUCCUUUUUAAAAAGAAAUGGUAUCAGCGAUGAUUUCCAGUCUGGAUUUAGACCCUACCAUUGUACUGAGACUGCUCUCAUUAGAGUUACAAAUGAUUUGCUCUUCUCAUCGGAUCGUGGUAUCUCUCUAUUUGUGUUACUGGAUCUUAGUGCUGCAUUUGAUAUUAUUGACCACAACAUUUUGAAUAGACUCGAAAAUUACAUUGGAAUUAGUGGAAUUGCAUUGCUAUGGUUCAAAUCAUAAUUUUUUGAUGAUUACCAAUUUGUAGCAGUGAAUGAAGAGGUUUCAUAUUAAUUACAAGUUCACUAUGUACCGCAAGGCUCAGUACAAGGACUGUUGCUUUUUAUCCUGUACAUGCUACCCUUGAGAGAUAUCAUUAGGUAUUAAAUUUGGAUGUUUGUAUUUAGACAUUAUCAAAGACUUAUUUCUAUCACAGUAUAGAUUUUUGUUGUUGUUGUUGUUGUUUGAAAUUUUGUUGAAUCUUCUGGCACAACUAACUGGUAAAACAGUCUCCAACUGA